CCGGGUGCGUGGAAGGCCGCUCCCCUUAAAGUCGGGUAACCGGCGAAGAGGGGGGAGGAAAGUCCGAGCACCAUAGAGCUUCGGUGGUGGGUAACGCCCACCGUCCCGUUUCGACGGGAUAGGGAAAGUGCCACAGAAAAUAUACCGCCCUGGUUUACCAGGGUAAGGGUGAAAUGGUGCGGUAAGAGCGCACCGCGGUUGGCUGUGAAGUCGCCGGCAUGGUAAACCCCACCGGGUGCAAGGCCAAGCAGCGAUCCAUGUGACCUGGCUCAGGUUCAGUGGUCGUGGGUAGGACGCUUCACGCGAAAGCGGGAGAGCUCGUCAGCCAUGGCUAGUCUAGAUCAAUGGGGUUCGACGCCUGGCAGCUUUGCCCCGUUGCCAGGCGGAACAAAACUCGGCUUACAUCGCAUCCGGUUGG
rnacentral:RNase_P_RNA from 1 species